GACGGAGGGUGCAAACGUUGUUCGGAAUCACUGGCAUAAAGAGCACGUAGGCUGCGCGCUAAGUCAGGUGUGAAAUCCCCCGGCUCAACCGGGGAACUGCACCUGAUACUGGCGUGCUCGAGGACGGUAGGGGUGAGUGGAACUCCAGGUGGAGCGGUGAAAUGCGUAGAUAUCUGGAGGAACACCGGUGGCGAAAGCGGCUCACUGGACCGUCUCUGACGCUGAGGUGCGAAAGCUAGGGUAGCAAACGGG
rnacentral:rRNA from 1 species